rnacentral:rRNA from 1 species
AGUGAACGCUGGCGGUAGGCCUAACACAUGCAAGUCGAACGGCAGCACAGUAAGAGCUUGCUCUUACGGGUGGCGAGUGGCGGACGGGUGAGGAAUACAUCGGAAUCUACUUUUUCGUGGGGGAUAACGUAGGGAAACUUACGCUAAUACCGCAUACGACCUACGGGUGAAAGCAGGGGAUCUUCGGACCUUGCGCGAUUGAAUGAGCCGAUGUCGGAUUAGCUAGUUGGCGGGGUAAAGGCCCACCAAGGCGACGAUCCGUAGCUGGUCUGAGAGGAUGAUCAGCCACACUGGAACUGAGACACGGUCCAGACUCCUACGGGAGGCAGCAGUGGGGAAUAUUGGACAAUGGGCGAAAGCCUGAUCCAGCCAUACCGCGUGGGUGAAGAAGGCCUUCGGGUUGUAAAGCCCUUUUGUUGGGAAAGAAAAGCAGCAGGUUAAUACCCCGCUGUUCUGACGGUACCCAAAGAAUAAGCACCGGCGAACUUUGU